UCGAGCGAGUCUGCCUUGAAGAUCGGAGUGCUUGCACUCUGUGAAACAAGAUACAGGCUAGCGGCGGACGGGUGAGUAACACGUGGGUAACCUGCCCAAGAGAUCGGGAUAACACCUGGAAACAGAUGCUAAUACCGGAUAACAACAGAUGAUGCCUAUCAACUGUUUAAAAGAUGGUUCUGCUAUCACUCUUGGAUGGACCUGCGGUGCAUUAGCUAGUUGGUAGGGUAACGGCCUACCAAGGCGAUGAUGCAUAGCCGAGUUGAGAGACUGAUCGGCCACAUUGGGACUGAGACACGGCCCAAACUCCUACGGGAGGCAGCAGUAGGGAAUCUUCCACAAUGGACGCAAGUCUGAUGGAGCAACGCCGCGUGAGUGAAGAAGGGUUUCGGCUCGUAAAGCUCUGUUGUUGGUGAAGAAGGACAGGGGUAGUAACUGACCUUUGUUUGACGGUAAUCAAUUAGAAAGUCACGGCUAACUACGUGCCAGCAGCCGCGGUAAUACGUAGGUGGCAAGCGUUGUCCGGAUUUAUUGGGCGUAAAGCGAGUGCAGGCGGCUCGAUAAGUCUGAUGUGAAAGCCUUCGGCUCAACCGGAGAAUUGCAUCAGAAACUGUCGAGCUUGAGUACAGAAGAGGAGAGUGGAACUCCAUGUGUAGCGGUGAAAUGCGUAGAUAUAUGGAAGAACACCGGUGGCGAAGGCGGCUCUCUGGUCUGUUACUGA
rnacentral:rRNA from 1 species